rnacentral:rRNA from 1 species
UACGUAGGGUGCGAGCGUUAAUCGGAAUUACUGGGCGUAAAGCGUGCGCAGGCGGUUUUGUAAGACAGGCGUGAAAUCCCCGGGCUCAACCUGGGAAUUGCGCUUGUGACUGCAAGGCUAGAGUGCGUCAGAGGGGGGUAGAAUUCCACGUGUAGCAGUGAAAUGCGUAGAGAUGUGGAGGAAUACCGAUGGCGAAGGCAGCCCCCUGGGACGUGACUGACGCUCAUGCACGAAAGCGUGGGGAGCAAACAGGAUUAGAUACCCUGGUAGUCCACGCCCUAAACGAUGUCAACUAGUUGUUGGGGAUUCAUUUUCUCAGUAACGUAGCUAACGCGUGAAGUUGACCGCCUGGGGAGUACGGUCGCAAGAUUA